CGGCGCACGGGUGCGUAACGCGUAUGCAAUCUACCUUUUACAGAGGGAUAGCCCAGAGAAAUUUGGAUUAAUACCUCAUAGUAUAUAGCCCUGGCAUGGUGAUUAUAUUAAAGUCACAACGGUGAAAGAUGAGCAUGCGUCCCAUUAACUAGUUGGUAAGGUAACGGCUUACCAAGGCUACGAUGGGUAGGGGUCCUGAGAGGGAGAUCCCCCACACUGGUACUGAGACACGGACCAGACUCCUACGGGAGGCAGCAGUGAGGAAUAUUGGACAAUGGGCGCAAGCCUGAUCCAGCCAUGCCGCGUGCAGGAUGACGGUCCUAUGGAUUGUAAACUGCUUUUAUACGAGAAGAAACACUCCUUCGUGAAGGAGCUUGACGGUAUCGUAAGAAUAAGGAUCGGCUAACUCCGUGCCAGCAGCCGCGGUAAUACGGAGGAUCCAAGCGUUAUCCGGAAUCAUUGGGUUUAAAGGGUCCGUAGGCGGUUUAAUAAGUCAGUGGUGAAAGCCCAUCGCUCAACGGUGGAACGGCCAUUGAUACUGUUAGACUUGAAUUAUUAGGAAGUAACUAGAAUAUGUAGUGUAGCGGUGAAAUGCUUAGAGAUUACAUGGAAUACCAAUUGCGAAGGCAGGUUACUACUAAUUGAUUGACGCUGAUGGACGAAAGCGUGGGUAGCGAACAGGAUUAGAUACCCUGGUAGUC
rnacentral:rRNA from 1 species